rnacentral:rRNA from 1 species
UUUGAUGGCGACCGGCGCACGGGUGAGUAACACGUAUCCAACCUGCCGAUGACUCGGGGAUAGCCUUUCGAAAGAAAGAUUAAUACCCGAUGGCAUAGUUCUUCCGCAUGGUAGAACUAUUAAAGAAUUUCGGUCAUCGAUGGGGAUGCGUUCCAUUAGCUUGUUGGCGGGGUAACGGCCCACCAAGGCAUCGAUGGAUAGGGGUUCUGAGAGGAAGGUCCCCCACAUUGGAACUGAGACACGGCCCAAACUCCUACGGAAGGCAGCAG